AUCCAGCUGACGAGUCACAAAUAAAACGAAACUCGUGUCCUGGAU
rnacentral:hammerhead_ribozyme from 1 species